GAUGAACGCUAGCGGGAGGCCUAACACAUGCAAGCCGAGCGGUAGAGUUUCUUCGGACACUUGAGAGCGGCGUACGGGUGCGUAACACGUGUGCAACCUACCUUUAUCUGGGGGAUAGCCUUUCGAAAGGAAGAUUAAUACCCCAUAAUAUAAUGAUUGGCAUCAAUUAUUAUUGAAAACUCCGGUGGAUAGAGAUGGGCACGCGCAAGAUUAGAUAGUUGGUGGGGUAACGGCUCACCAAGUCAAUGAUCUUUAGGGGUCCUGAGAGGGAGAUCCCCCACACUGGUACUGAGACACGGACCAGACUCCUACGGGAGGCAGCAGUGAGGAAUAUUGGACAAUGGGUGAGAGCCUGAUCCAGCCAUCCCGCGUGAAGGAUGACGGUCCUAUGGAUUGUAAACUUCUUUUGUACAGGGAUAAACCUACCCUCGUGAGGGUAGCUGAAGGUACUGUACGAAUAAGCACCGGCUAACUCCGUG
rnacentral:rRNA from 1 species